rnacentral:rRNA from 1 species
AUUGAACGCUGGCGGCAUGCUUUACACAUGCAAGUCGAACGGUAACAGGCCGCAAGGUGCUGACGAGUGGCGAACGGGUGAGUAAUGCAUCGGAACGGGCCCAGUCGUGGGGGAUAACUACUCGAAAGAGUAGCUAAUACCGCAUACGAGCUAUGGAUGAAAGCGGGGGACCGUAAUGCCUCGCGCGAUUGUAGCGGCCGAUGUCAGAUUAGGUAGUUGGUGGGGUAAAGGCUCACCAAGCCAACGAUCUGUAGCUGGUCUGAGAGGACGACCAGCCACACUGGGACUGAGACACGGCCCAGACUCCUACGGGAGGCAGCAGUGGGGAAUUUUGGACAAUGGGCGAAAGCCUGAUCCAGCAAUGCCGCGUGCAGGAAGAAGGUCUUCGGGUUGUAAACUGCUUUUGUACGGAACGAAAAGGCUCUGGUUAAUACCCGGAGCUAAUGACGGUACCGAAAGAAUAAGCACCGGCUAACUACGUG